rfam:Eutrema salsugineum unplaced genomic scaffold scaffold_14, whole genome shotgun sequence.
UGCCCGAUGCCACGUCGACGAUAGCUUUUUCCGGCUAUGAUUCAUCGAUGCUACAUUGGGCAUAAACAAAUUGUUUGUGUUUCGCUUUCUGAUAGGAACCUGUGGAUCUUUGAUUUUGUGACCUACGGAGCCAUUUCGGCGAUUACAUUU